UUUUCUGAUCUUUGAAAAGCUGCCAAAACUAACGAAGCUGAAUUCAUCUGGGACAAAGGAGAUGCUUUUGUUUUUCUGCCUCUUUCAGCUCAGUCGAGUUUUGGAUGGCUCUUGGCUGUUGCAAUGGAAUGCAAAACACCUCCACAUCAGAUCCCUCCACAAGCCAGGUCUGGCUAUUGUAAUGACGGUGCCACCCAGAAAAUACUGGUGUUACCUUACACGGCUGCUUCUUAGCUCCUUGAAGAGUGGAACCGUGCAUGUUGGAACGAACCGUGGGGAGCCUGUGAAGGUCAGACCAGGAGGACUCUUCCUUGAAUUCUAACGAGAAAUGCUGACUCCUGCCUCAGUGUGGGCUGAAUUCCUUCCCUGUGUCCUCGUGGCUUCAUGGGCUCCUGAUGAAUUACUUGGAUGUUGAUUUUCACUAAAACUUUUAGGAAAAAGCAAAUACAUUUUUUAGUAGUCUGGAGGAAUUCCACCCAGAUCAGCAUCAGCCUUAAUUAGUCCUGCUGCUGGAACACACUCAGUCGUGGUCUCCUAAAGCACCAUUGCUCCUUCAGCCCCCCCUCACACCACUGCCCGAGGAGAGAGGAGCUGGGGAGCUCCUGCCACCGCGCACAGAGGGCUCCGGGUCACCACAGGAGCCAGAGGCACUUCAUGCUUCCCUGGAGGUGUUUAUGGCAUCCAUCCUGGGGCAGUGUGUGCAUGAGAAACAGGACCGUGUGUGUACCUGUCCUUGCUGUUAAUUACCUUCCCAUGGAGUAAAACAAAGCAGCAGAAAAUGGCCGUAGGAGGUAUUUAGACCAGCUGGAACACAAAGGUAAAGGCUUCUAAUCUGCUUUAUGAUGGAUAGUCCCAGCGGUGCCUGGGGGAGCAGGGAGCAGUUCUUUCUCUUUUUGGUUAUAAUAUGGCUAGAAAAUGUUCUGCGUGCAAACUGGCAGCGCCUCCCCACGUGCAUCCCUGGUGUGUGCCAGCCCUGAGCCACCUCCCCACGUGCAUCCCUGGUGUGUGCCAGCCCUGAGCCACCUCCCCUCGUGCAUCCCUGGUGUGUGCCAGCCCUGAGCCACCUCCCCACGUCCAUCCCUGGUGUGUGCCAGCCCUGAGCCACCUCUCGUCCCGCUGCUGUCCCCACCGAGCGGCACCGCAUCCCCUCCCUCUGGGUGUUUUCCCGAGAAAAACUCUAUGUUGCAGCUGCUUUUUUUCUUUAUCAUCCUUAAAGUUUAAUUAUUCACAACCAAUUUUGUUCUAAAGAGAUCUCUCAUGUACAUUUCAAAAAUAGAACAUGUUUAAAUGAAAGUGAAAUCUUGUUUUUAAUUUAUACAAGG
rnacentral:lncRNA from 1 species